AAGAAGAAAGACGCAGCAGAGUCCACGGCUGAGGGUGUGUUUUGGUACCUGGAACGCGCAGGUUACCUGCCUAAUAAGCGUAACUAAACCUCUAUUAGUCUAGAUACACAUUAUUACGAAUAUGCUUAUGAUUGAUCAUCAAAACGAUUAGGUCAUUCCAAAAUCCUGAAUGAGACACGGCCUACUCUGUUGUUGGUCAGAAAGGAACUUAUGAGUGAGGGUGUGUUUUGGUACCUGGAACGCGCAGGUUACCUGCCUAAUAAGCGUAACUGAACAGAUUCAUAAGUUCCUUUUUGACCAACAACAGAGUAGGCCGUGUCUCAUUCAGGAUUUUGGAAUGACCUAAUCGUUUUGAUGAUCAAUCAAUCAUAAGCAUAUUCAUAAUAAUGUGUAUCUAGACUAAUAGAGGUUUAGUGAUUUGUUGCCAAGAGGAAAAUUUAAGGAUAUUGUAUAGUAUUACUUCACUUGUGCAGCUGUGUCUAGGCAGUGUACUUGGUAAUGGUAUCAGUGUUAAGUGGAUCAUGAAUUUGAAAUGUAAAUAUUUGUGAUUUGAAUCUUGUGUUAAUUUGUUUUCCCUAAAUGAUGACGCUAUCGUGUGGUGUUGCUGUAUGGAUGCAAGUUGAGGUUCAAUCGACUUGAAAUCAAUUUGGUGUGAAUAUCAAAAUCUUUCAGACCUUAAAUUUGACAUUCACUUGUUUAUUUUAUUUUUAUUUUUUUAAUGUAAAAGCUCUUGAUGUUUGAAGUUAUAUAGUG
rnacentral:lncRNA from 1 species